rnacentral:rRNA from 1 species
GAUGAACGCUAGCGGCAGGCUUAAUACAUGCAAGGCGAGGGGGCAGCAAUGUCACCGUCGUACGGGUGCGUAACGCGUAUGCAACCUACCUAUCACUGGGGGAUAGCCCGGGGAAACCCGGAUUAAUACCGCAUAACACAGGGGUCCCGCAUGGGGAUAUUUGUUAAAGAUUUAUCGGUGGUAGAUGGGCAUGCGUUCGAUUAGCUAGUUUGCAGGGUAACGGCCUACCAAGGCGACGAUCGAUAGGGGAGCCGAGAGGUUGAUCCCACACACGUGCACUGGGAGACGGUCCCGACUCCUACGGGAGGCAGCAGUAGGGAAUAUUGGGAAAUGGAUGAGUGUCUGACACAGCCAUGCCGCGUGCCGGAAGAAGGUCCUCAGGAUUGUAAACGGCUUUUAUUCGGGAAGAAGAGCAGGGAUGCGUCCUUGUGUGACGGUACCGAAUGAAUAAGCACCGGCUAACUCCGUGCCAGCCGCCGCCGUAA